GUGCCAGCCGCCGCGGUAAUACGGAGGGUGCAAGCGUUAAUCGGAAUUACUGGGCGUAAAGCGUGUGUAGGCGGUCUAUUAAGUCGGAUGUGAAAGCCCCGGGCUUAACCUGGGAAUUGCAUUCGAAACUGGUAGGCUUGAAUUUGGUAGAGGGAAGUGGAAUUCCGGGUGUAGCGGUGAAAUGCGUAGAUAUCCGGAGGAACACCAGUGGCGAAGGCGGCUUCCUGGACCAAAAUUGACGCUGAGGCACGAAAGCGUGGGUAGCAAACAGGAUUAGAUACCCUGGUAGUCCACGCCCUAAACGAUGAGAACUAGCCGUUGGGUGCAUUAAAGUACUUAGUGGCGAAGCUAGCGCGUUAAGUUCUCCGCCUGGGGAGUACGGCCGCAAGGUUGAAACUCAAAUGAAUUGACGGGG
rnacentral:rRNA from 1 species